CCCUCACACCUGAGCCGGCCCCGCCCCGCCCGCGCCCGUAAAUCCCGGCGGAUCCGCGCCCGCUCCGCUCUGUGCGGUGGAUGCUCAUCCCGGGAUGCGGUGGGGCCGUCGCUCGUAGCGCUGUGCGGAGUUUGGGGCGCUGAGAACACAGGACAUUCUCUGUUGGAAAGAGCCACGAGGAUCAUCAAGUCAAAUAAUGGCAAGCGACAGGCCCGUGUGGGUGUUAAACUCGGAAUCUUGGCCUUCUCAGCACCCUGCUCCAAGCACCUGAGCCAAUCUCAGGGUCACAAGGAAGGUCCUGCCUAGGAUGGGAAUGGCUGGUGCCAGCAAAGGAAUUCCUAUGUAAAAUCAGCAAAAUGUUCUGUUAAUGGUGCUUUACACACCAGCCUCUGGAAUGGCUCUGCGGUAGAACUGG